rnacentral:rRNA from 1 species
UACGAAGGGGGCUAGCGUUGCUCGGAAUCACUGGGCGUAAAGCGCACGUAGGCGGAUCUUUAAGUCAGGGGUGAAAUCCUGGAGCUCAACUCCAGAACUGCCUUUGAUACUGGGGAUCUCGAGUCCGGGAGAGGUGAGUGGAACUCCGAGUGUAGAGGUGAAAUUCCUAGAUAUUCGGAAGAACACCAGUGGCGAAGGCGGCUCACUGGCCCGGUACUGACGCUGAGGUGCGAAAGCGUGGGGAGCAAACAGG